rnacentral:rRNA from 1 species
UACGGAAGGCAGCAGUGGGGAAUAUUGCACAAUGGGCGAAAGCCUGAUGCAGCUAUGCCGCGUGUAUGAAGAAGGCCUUAGGGUUGUAAAGUACUUUCAUCGGGGAGGAAAAACAAAACUAAUAAUUUUAUUUCUUGACGUUACCCGAAAAAGAAGCACCGGCUAACUCCGUGCCAGCAGCCGCGGUAAUACGGAGGGUGCUAGCGUUAAUCAGAAUUACUGGGCGUAAAGAGCACGUAGGUGGUUUUUUUAAGUCAGAUGUGAAAUCCCUGGGCUUAACCUAGGAACUGCAUUUUGAAACUGAAAUACUAGAGUAUCGUAGAGGGAGGUAGAAUUCUAGGUGUAGCGGUGAAAUGCGUAGAUAUCUGGAGGAAUACCUGUGGCGAAAGCGGCCUCCUAAACGAAUACUGACACUGAGGUGCGAAAGCGUGGGGAGCAAACAGGGAUUAAGACUACC